GCCACCGUGGCGUAGUGGUUUGAGUGUUGGUCUAUGACUCCGGAGACCAGGAUUCGAGUCCCAGCUUGACC